AGCUGCAUGGUGAGCACAAAGCAAACUAUUCUUUCGUCUUUUACUAAAGCAUACCGUGUGCACGCCACACUUAAGCAGCGUACGGCUUAUUUGUCAAGGGCUCCCUUCUCUA
rfam:Brachypodium distachyon strain Bd21 chromosome 1, whole genome shotgun sequence.